CCCCUCCAUUCGCCCCCUCUCCUUCUGGCGGGUGCUGUUCCCCCCAGGGCCUUCAGGCGGCGCUCCAGCCUUCCCCCUCGGGGGUCGUGUUAUCGUGACCUUUGAGGGGGGCUAAAAAUAGCCCCAAACCCGGGGGGGACACCUGGAGACCAUCGCCAAGUGCCACCGGCCCCGGGCACUUGAGGCCUCGCCCCGCUGCCCCCAGCGGGGUCCGACCUUGAGCGCGGGCCCUCCGGGGGGGAGGGGCGAAGGGGAAGGGAUAAAUAAUCCCGGGGGACGGCUGGGGGGGAGGGGCAGGGUCCCAGGCAAAGGUGGGAAGGGCCCGGACCCACCUUGGGCCCCUUUGGGUGUACUGGGUUUUGGGGAGGGGGCUCUGGGCUCACUCACGGCCCCCCAAGGGAUGGGGAGACAUAAGGGCAGCUCAGGGCACUCGGACGUGGGGGUUUCCCCCACAGGAGCUGAGGGGGCGUCUGUGCAGUCCAGGGUCAGGCUGGGACCCCCCUGAUCUUGGCCUUGUCCAUCCAGAAGGUCACAGCCCAGCAGAUCCUAGAGUCUCACGGGAAUUGCGCAGUGGAGGUGGAUUUGUUUCUGGCCAAGGAGCUGGAGCUUCUGAAAGCAGCCGUAGGAAGGGACAGGGGCAGCAUCGGGAUGGAUGUGGCAGCUCCGAGUUCUGCUGCGAGGGCAAACACGACCUGGACUUCAAAUCCCCCCGGGAUCCCCUGGAUCAUCACCGGGGGCAGCUCUACCAGAGCCUGAUCAAGGGACUACCCCGGUGACAGGGCCAUACUGCUGAACUCCAGUACACACUGGUGGCUGUUUGCCCACAGUGGUGUCAGCUGAGGACCCCUUUGACCAGGACGGCUGGGAGGGCUGGAAGCACGUCCUGACACAGGUGGACAUCCAGGUGGGUGGGCAGUGACCGACCCAAGGCACAUCGCAGCCGUGGCCGAGGCUGAGGCCGUGCAGCUGCCCCCUGCUCGAGGUCAGCCAGACCAGAUCCGUCACUGAGCCCGUCUAGGUGUGAGUGCUCUGAAUCCUUGGGCAGCCCCCAGUGCUGAGCCCACGCAGGUGUGAUCCUGGUGUAACCUCCCCGUUAUGGAGCCCAUCCAGGUGGGAGUUCACGUGCACAUCCCCCACCGUGAGGCCGUCAGGUGUCACUCUGCACACAAACUCCUGUGAAAAUCCUGACCACUGGAUUCACCUGGGCUGAGUCUGCAAACCUUCCUGCAAACCUCUGUGAACGCCCCCGGGUCACUCCACCCACCCAGAUGUGCAAGCUGGCCCAGAACCACGGCCAGGGCUCACGGGGAGUCCCCGCUUGGGCAGGACUGAGGACUCCUCCAUCGCUGACCUCGCUGUGGGGCUCUGCACUGGCCAGGGCAGUCCCUGCAGCCCCUGUCGCCCCCCGUUUCCCCCGUGCCAGCCUCCAUUGUCCCCCCAGAAGGAGACGGGUGCUCCCCGCUGUCACUCCGAGCGCUCAGCAAAGUACAACCAGACGUGGAGGAGUCUCCACAUUCGUGCACCCCUUGCCUUUUGCCCCGAUCUCUGUGUGUGUCCCCUUGUCCCGGCUGCCUCUGUGUCCCCACGUCCCCCCCAGUGGUGUCCUUGUCUCUGUGUGUGCUGCAUGUGUCCCCCCAUCCCCAAACCCCCCGUUUCUGCUGAUCCCUGGAUCAGCCCCACGUCACCUCACCGGGCUCUUGUCCCUCCCAGAACCGAGGGGGUGCUGGGGGACAAGGCCAAGUUCACAAAUUCUGAAAGCCCAAGGCUGAGUAGGAGGGAGGAGGGCAGCAGGGCCCAGCCUGGCCCCCCCACCACCAAGGGGCUCCCCCCAUCCCCAUAAACUUUGUAAAGCACCAAGAGCUCCCAACUCACGCUGUGUUUGGGGAGUGGAGCACACACACACACACACACACAACCUGGGGCAUGGGGGUCACCCCACCUGCCCCCCCAAAAGAGACACAGGCACCAGGUGAGCAGAUGAGGUGUUUUAUCACCCCCUCCGUGUGUCCCUGUCGCCCUCCCCCACUGUUAAAUAC